rnacentral:rRNA from 1 species
ACUCCUACGGGAGGCAGCAGUCGGGAAUUUUGGGCAAUGGGCGAAAGCCUGACCCAGCAACGCCGCGUGAGGGAUGAAGGCCUUCGGGUCGUAAACCUCUGUCGGAAGGGAAGAAAGGUCACUGUUCGAAUAGGCCAGUGGCUUGACGGUACCUUCAAAGGAAGUACCGGCUAACUCCGUGCCAGCAGCCGCGGUAAUACGGAGGGUACGAGCGUUGUUCGGAAUUACUGGGCGUAAAGCGCGUGUAGGCGGCCAGGCAAGUCGGAUGUGAAAUCCCGGGGCUCAACCCCGGAACUGCACCCGAAACUGCAUGGCUCGAGUCUCGGAGGGGGUGGCGGAAUUUCCGGUGUAGAGGUGAAAUUUCGUAGAUAUCGGAAGGAACACCAGUGGCGAAGGCGGCCACCUGGACGAUGACUGACGCUGAGACGCGAAAGCGUGGGGAGCAAACAGGAUUAGAUACCCUGGUAGCGAGUAG